GAGCAACUUCUCCACACAUACAAUGCCAAUUACAAGCAAAUCAUUACAUCAAAAAAGAUUCAUGAGUUUGCAUAAGAGCGAACUGUAGUGUCUACAGUCAGGCUUGCUGUUUCCUAGACUUGACCACACCGAAUACCUGGCCUUGAUUCUUUGCAAUCACACCGUGCUGUUCUAUAUCCAUGUCAGAGAAUCAUUGAGACCACCAUCGCCAUAUCGUUUUAUUGUACAAGGUUAUUCAAUAUCUUUGAUGUUUAAGACCCCUGAUGAAGUCCAGUAGGACGAAACGCGUUGGAUUACUCAUGGUUGUGAGAUCAUCAAAACAGCUUUUGAGUGGUCAUUGGAUUAAGAAAUACCACAUAUAACACAUCAUUUAUGUUUUAAAGUAUUAAGCUUUUAAUAUUGAUGUAAAUAUUUUACAAAAAUUGUACAUUUUGUGUUUUAU